GAACUCCUGCGCCAGACACAAGCCAGGAUAAAGGAGUAGUAAAAAAAAAAAAGAACUGAGAGUACUGGUUGGAAAACAUCAAGUAAAUCCAUUCAGGUUAUUUACACCUACUGCGAGAAAACGUUUUGGUUUCACUGAAGCUUUUCAAACUCUAAAUAUCUCCAAACUCUGCAUGUUUUUAUAGAGGCUUUAACCUCAGGUCACAUGACCAGAGCGUCAGACUGAUUAAUAAAUCUCCAUUUGUUGUUAAGUUUAGGCUGUAGGCAAACUAUGGCUUGGGGGACAGAUACGGUACGCUUGGCUUUCUAAUCUGGCCCGCCAAUCACUGGUACGAGGUACGGUAAAUCCUUCUGUGUACAACGAAUCAAUGGUCAUUUCUUUUUAUGCCACUAGAUGGCGACUGACAUCAAAUGUGCCAAAUUAUCUUUGAAAGUUUGUUCUGUACACGUUAUUUAUAUUCAAGUUUUUUUCCCAUCCCACCAACUAAGUAAAAUUUUUAUAGAUUAAUUGAUAUGGAUUUUUUCAUGACUUUUUUUUUCCAGAUUAAUCACAAAUAAGAAAACGUGUGGAACACGUACGUCUCCCUGCUGUUAUUUGUCUUUCUUUUUAGGGAACAAAAAAGUUGUUUUUGUCAAAGUCAGAAAGGUUGAAUAUAUUAAUUGUGAUUAAUCAGAGAUUAUCACAUGGCAUUUGAAGUUCAAUCGUUUGACGGAGCUACUUUUCUCCGUCGUCUGACCACUUACAUUUGUUCAAAUUCAUUUAUUAACAUUUAACUGAAUUAAUUUUGGUUGUUAUAUAUAUUCUUAUAGUUUGUGUAAGAAUUUUUUCCGCCGCCGUUUAAUCAACUUUAGUUUCUGUCUGAACUUUACAAAGCUCAUUUAAAGCCGUCCUAGAAUGACAGUCUUGGAGAGCGGCCAAUUAAAAUGCUCCGUAAAUGAAGAUUGAUUAUUACUAUAUUUAUCUUCUAAUCUAACUGUGAAGUAUAUGAGUGUGAACGUUCACAUCUCACACCAUGUUAAACUCCUCAUUUAAAGUUGUCAGGAGAACGUGAUCUGAUCAAAGUCUGAUACGUUGUCUUUUCAAACUUUAGUCACACUGUUUUUUUUAUUUGUGACAAUAGCGUCGACAAUAGCCUCGAUAAAAUCUCAAAGAAAUGUUAAUGAUCGGGUUCAACGCUGCAGGUGAAACACAAUAAAAAAAAAACAACCUCCAAUUCAUUAAAUAAUCAAAUACAAUUUUUGAACCUUAAAAGAACUACAUUUUUGAAUGCUGCGUGUCAAGCUAUAAUUUUUUUUACCAGCUCUAAAGAAUUUUAAAGCUUUAUGGUACGUGUUAAAAUCUGGCAGCGACGAACGUGGACAAAAUAGAAAUAGCUGAGGGUUUGAAUCCUAUACCUCGCGUCCGAGCCCUGGUUCUUGCGGUGCUAAGGUCAACAGAUAUCUGAGGUGAAGUUAAUGUUUAAAGUUUAGCCAAAGAAGCCGCUCCCCGUCUGGAUCUGCUCCGAUUUCAGGCUGUGGGCUGUGAGGGAAACUGAAAGAAUCUAUACGUUCCAUCUCUAUUUUUAAAAGUACAAAAAUUACCCAGUUGUCAAGGUGACACAUUGUGCCACCCUCACCACCACCCAGCAGAGCUCAAAUAAAAAACGUGUUGAUUACCUCCAGAGACCCAGCCGAGACUCACGAGGCUCCAGACGAGACAAUUAACACGUUUCACUGUUUAAUAUAAUUAAAAAGUAUUUAAAAUACCUGACAUCAGAACAAAGAGCGCAGGGGACACAGAUUAACCCCAACUCCAUGAGGUUUGAUUUCCCCAAAAAAGCCUAAUUUACUGCCUCCAUUUGACUAAAGUGACAGAAGAGGAGCAGAACAAUUACAAAAAGCAAAAAAAAAAUUGGUUUUCACUUUGUUUUUUU